rnacentral:rRNA from 1 species
GGGACACGUGGUAUCCUGUCUGAAUAUGGGGGGACCAUCCUCCAAGGCUAAAUACUCCUGACUGACCGAUAGUGAACCAGUACCGUGAGGGAAAGGCGAAAAGAACCCCGGCGAGGGGAGUGAAAAAGAACCUGAAACCGUGUACGUACAAGCAGUGGGAGCACGCUUAGGCGUGUGACUGCGUACCUUUUGUAUAAUGGGUCAGCGACUUAUAUUCUGUAGCAAGGUUAACCGAAUAGGGGAGCCGAAGGGAAACCGAGUCUUAACUGGGCGUUAAGUUGCAGGGUAUAGACCCGAAACCCGGUGAUCUAGCCAUGGGCAGGUUGAAGGUUGGGUAACACUAACUGGAGGACCGAACCGACUAAUGUUGAAAAAUUAGCGGAUGACUUGUGGCUGGGGGUGAAAGGCCAAUCAAAC